CUGGGUUUAGGACCUCGCGUCCACUCACCCGCCCUUUGUCAUGAGACGCGCAAGCAACUCACAUCGUUUCGGCUCCUGGCUCUCGGGCACCCCCGCUAUUAAUUUGGCGGGGUGCUGCCUGUUGGCCGCGGGUCGGCAUUGCAAACCCACGCGGAUUACUGAAGUCUGAUACAAUUUUUUAAACGAAAUUA
rnacentral:misc_RNA from 1 species